rnacentral:lncRNA from 1 species
CAGGUUUAGGAAGCCUGGAUAAUGAUGAGACUCUCAACAAAACAAAGUAAAAUUAAGAUGCCAGGAUCAUUUUAACAAAAUCUGUGAAGCAUCAAAAGACACCUUUUAUUUUUUUCCAAGGCAGAUCUCACUACGUACCUCACAGAUCCUCCUGCCUCUGCCUGUCACUUGUGAUACCACCCUGUGUGCUGUGCUGUUGACAAGUGACUGGCCUGAGUAUCAUGUCCUUGACGUUGGAGAUACACACUGACCCGGGGGUAGCUCCGUCCUUCAUGUCGUCUUGUCCCUGUGUCCCCCAAACCAGGACAGUGGUUUGUUUGUUUUGUUGUUGUUUUUUAUAGAGAAAGCUAUAAAUUAGUGGUCUCUAAGCCACAGCCUGGACACAGGAAAAAUCAAAGUAAGAUUAUUUCAAAUGACAAUGCAACUCUGGUUUUGGUGGUUUCUCAUCAGUGGGUAAAGGAUUUUUAUUUUGCCUUUAAAACAGAACUUGAAACAACAACAGCAGCAGCAGCAGCAUCACCCCACCCCCGGCAGCAUCUCCCAGGCACAGGGCUGCUGCAGCUUGGCCUAGCUCAUGGCCAGCACUCCACCUAUCCGACCGACAGACAAGUGUGUCAGUCUGCUCCCAGCUGUUAGCUUUGCUCUAGUGAUCUUGGCAAGAGCACACGCGCGCGCACACACACACACACACACACACGCACGCACGCCCCAGUCUCGAAGCCCCAGAAAGGGCUGGCUCUAGAGGAGGGGUAUGCACUCUGGAGCUGCUCCCAGGGGAUCACCCCCCGUGCCUACUUCCUGCGUGCCCCACCACUCCAGCUCCCUGCUCUGUUGCUGCCGCCAGUCCUUUGGCCGAGACUGUUCGAUCUGUGGGGUCUUGACUCAAGAGAUGAGGCCAGCACAUAAGCAGCCUAGCAUUCAUUGCUGAACCCUCUUUGUGGUGUUUGCGUGUGGAUGGCGCCUGUGGACUUGGUCUCUACUUAAACAUCAACUAUGAGGACACCUGAAAAUUCAGAAUCUCUACUUUGUAGUCUUUCUCUUUCCCUGUGGCCUUCCUAAGCUGGUUGUCAACUGUUGAUUCUUCGACUUUUCCCAAGUAGACAGGCAGGAAAAAUAGUAGGCGAUGGGAAGCGAUGGGUUCCUCUGCACUCUGGGGUCCUGGGGCACUGCUGAGAGCAAGGGGUCUCCAGUCCCUCCCGAGAAAACAGAUCAAGUCUCGCUUGCACCCAGCCCUGUGGGACUUGGUGGUCCCUGAGCCCUGUAGAUGUUGCUGUGGGAAGCAGCUCAGCAGUGGAGAUGGUGGUCUCCUCAGCCUCAUGAGGCUGAGCGUUUACUACGACUUCCAGUAUCUCAGCAGAGCUCAGCAUCCCCACACCACCAUCAGUUCAGAUUUAACCACGACCCUUUUGACACGAUACCAAUUUUGUCUUAAAAUUCACCAAGAGACAUGAGACAAAAUAUUUUGUUUGAACCCUCAGGAGCACCUAAAGAAAAUAUUUAUCAGUAUUUAAGUAUUUAAAAUACAUCUUGUUUCUACUUGAAGCUUUAACCCUUUCCAUUCCUGCAAGUGUGCCUUUGAGAGCCCUCGGUCAUAUUAACGUCAGCCAUUUUGUUGGCCUCCUGUGAGAGUUCUGGACGCUGCUCUGCUCCUGAAAGAGCUUCCUGUUCAUGCAUGCCACACUGUGCAGCAGAGAACAUUCGUUUUCACUCCUGUUUCUGCCUUUCUUCCUUGCCUGGGAUGAGGACUCCGCCAUCCCUGCCUUCUGAUUUUAAUGUUUGAGCUCUGGCCAGCACUGAAACCAUCAACUGUGGAGGAGUGGUCUUGGCACUCCCUGAGGAGAGGAGAGGGCAGGGCAGGGCAGGGCAGCACUGCAGGAGGCUCAACUUGGAAAGACAGGAAGCUGCUGCGGUGGAGCAAGGGGACCCUCCCUUCAUUUGUCUUAAGUUCCUUCUGCUUUGCUUUCUCCCUUCCCCUUCAGUCUGUCCAUCUGUCUGUCCUUGUCCUCAUGGUGACUCUGGCAUGGGUGAUGCACUCUGUUUGCAUUAUCUGUGGUCUCACCAGCACAGACGACAGCGGGGAGGAUCUGAAGGAGUCCAGGGUGAGGAAGCCUGGCCUCAGAGACAGCUCUGCUGUCGUCUGCAGGUGGCCUCUUGCUGCCCCCAUCCUUGGGAAUGAAAGCCAACCUCUGGCUCCACUCUGCUCGCUCUGCCCCCUCCUACCAACCAGGGCUCCCGUCAGCGUGCACCCACCGUGCCCUGGCAAAGCUGGUGCUGUGAGUGAUGUUUCCCAUACAACCAGGGGUGCCGGCGGCGGCGCACUCCAAUAGUCAUUUUAGGCACAUCACAGUGUAGGAAUGAAAAUGGAUUCCAUGGAUAUUUAAAUCUGUCAGUUUCAUUUUGUUAAUGUUUUCCCCGAUGACUUUUUAGCAAUUUAACAAAUAAAACAACAGACUGAAUUGUCU